CAAAGGCUUGGUCCUGACUUUUCUAUCGUCUCUAGCUAAACUUACACAUGCAAGUAUCCGCAUCCCCGUGAGAAUGCCCUACAGUUCCCUGUCCGGGAACAAGGAGCUGGUAUCAGGCACACCCCGACUAGCCCACGACACCUUGCUUAGCCACACCCCCAAGGGAACUCAGCAGUGAUAAACAUUAAGCCAUAAGUGAAAACUUGACUUAGUUAAAGCUAAGAGGGCCGGUAAAACUCGUGCCAGCCACCGCGGUUAUACGAGAGGCCCGAGUUGAUAGACGCCGGCGUAAAGCGUGGUUAGGAUUUCUAUAAAACUAAAGCCGAACACCCUCAGAGCUGUUAUACGCACCCGAAGGCUUGAAGCUCAACCACGAAAGUGGCUUUACAACCCCGAACCCACGAAAGCUAAGACACAAACUGGGAUUAGAUACCCCACUAUGCCUAGCCAUAAACAUUGGCAGCAAUUACACCCGCUGCCCGCCCGGGAACUACAAGCAUUAGCUUAAAACCCAAAGGACUUGGCGGUGCUUUAGAUCCACCUAGAGGAGCCUGUUCUAGAACCGAUAACCCCCGUUCAACCACACCUCCCCUUGUUUUCCCCGCCUAUAUACCGCCGUCGUCAGCUUACCCUGUGAAGGUUAAAUAGUAAGCAAAAUUGGUACAACCUAAAACGUCAGGUCGAGGUGUAGCGUAUGGGAAGGGAAGAAAUGGGCUACAUUUCCUACUAGAGGAAAUACGAACGACGUACUGAAACGUACAUCUGAAGGAGGAUUUAGCAGUAAGCAGGAAAUAGAGCGUCCCGCUGAAACUGGCCCUGAAGCGCGCACACACCGCCCGUCACUCUCCCCAAGCCUACAAACUAAAGUAAUUAAGACCCUAUAAUCGCGAAGGGGAGGCAAGUCGUAACAUGGUAAGUGUACCGGAAGGUGCGCUUGGAAAAAU
rnacentral:rRNA from 1 species